rnacentral:rRNA from 1 species
CGUACACACCGCCCGUCACACCAUGGGAGUUGGCUUUACCUGUAAGGCGGUGCGCUAACCCGCAAGGGAGGCAGCCGACCACGGUAGGGUCAGCGACUGGGGUG